rnacentral:rRNA from 1 species
UACGGAGGGUGCAAGCGUUAUCCGGAUUUACUGGGUUUAAAGGGUGCGUAGGUGGAUUAGUAAGUCAGUGGUGAAAUCUCCGGGCUUAACCCGGAAACUGCCAUUGAUACUAUUAGUCUUGAAUAUCCUGGAGGUGAGCGGAAUAUGUCAUGUAGCGGUGAAAUGCUUAGAUAUGACAUAGAACACCAAUUGCGAAGGCAGCUUACUACCCGAAUAUUGACACUGAGGCACGAAAGCGUGGGGAUCAAACAGGA